CACGUAGGGUGCGAGCGUUGUCCGGAAUUAUUGGGCGUAAAGAGCUCGUAGGCGGUGUGUUGCGUCGGCCGUGAAAACCUGCAGCUUAACUGUGGGCUUGCGGUCGAUACGGGCAUCACUGGAGUUCGGCAGGGGAGACUGGAAUUCCUGGUGUAGCGGUGAAAUGCGCAGAUAUCAGGAGGAACACCGGUGGCGAAGGCGGGUCUCUGGGCCGAUACUGACGCUGGAG
rnacentral:rRNA from 1 species